rnacentral:rRNA from 1 species
UACGUAGGGUGCGAGCAUUGUCCGGAAUUAUUGGGCGUAAAGAGCUCGUAGGCGGUCUGUCGCGUCGAAUGUGAAAACCCGGGGCUCAACUCCGGGCUUGCAUUCGAUACGGGCAGGCUAGAGUUCGGUAGGGGAGUCUGGAAUUCCUGGUGUAGCGGUGAAAUGCGCAGAUAUCAGGAGGAACACCGGUGGCGAAGGCGGGACUCUGGGCCGAUACUGACGCUGAGGAGCGAAAGCGUGGGGAGCGAACAGG